rnacentral:rRNA from 1 species
GUUUGACCUCGGAUCAGGUAGGGAUACCCGCUGAACUUAAG